CCUCCGUAGGUGAACCUGCGGAGGGAUCAUUACAGAGUUCAUGGCCUACCGGGUAGAUCUCCCACCCUAUGUUAUUAUUACUUUGUUGCUUUGGCGGGCCGUUAGGCUCCGGCCCGACUACCGGCCCCGGCUGGUAAGCGCCCGCCAGAGGACCCAAAACCCUGAAUAUUAGUGUCGUCUGAGUACUAUAUAAUAGUUAAAACUUUCAACAACGGAUCUCUUGGUUCUG
rnacentral:misc_RNA from 1 species